rnacentral:rRNA from 1 species
AACGAACGCUGGCGGCAGGCCUAACACAUGCAAGUCGAGCGAAGCCUUCGGGCUUAGCGGCGGACGGGUGAGUAACGCGUGGGAACGUGCCCUUUGGUACGGAAUAGCCCCGGGAAACUGGGAGUAAUACCGUAUGUGCCCUUCGGGGGAAAGAUUUAUCGCCAAAGGAUCGGCCCGCGUUGGAUUAGGUAGUUGGUGGGGUAAUGGCCUACCAAGCCGACGAUCCAUAGCUGGUGUGAGAGGAUGAUCAGCCACACUGGGACUGAGACACGGCCCAGACUCCUACGGGAGGCAGCAGUGGGGAAUCUUAGACAAUGGGGGCAACCCUGAUCUAGCCAUGCCGCGUGAGUGAUGAAGGCCUUAGGGUUGUAAAGCUCUUUCAGCUGGGAAGAUAAUGACGGUACCAGCAGAAGAAGCCCCGGCUAACUACGUGCCAGCCGCCGCCGUAAAAC